rnacentral:rRNA from 1 species
CCUACGGGUGGCAGCAGUGGGGAAUAUUGGGCAAUGGGCGCAAGCCUGACCCAGCAACGCCGCGUGAAGGAAGAAGGCUUUCGGGUUGUAAACUUCUUUUGUCAGGGAAGAGUAGAAGACGGUACCUGACGAAUAAGCCACGGCUAACUACGUGCCAGCAGCCGCCGGAAUACGUAGGUGGCAAGCGUUGUCCGGAUUUAAUGGGUGUAAAGGGCGUAUAGCCGGGUUGACAAGUCAGAUGGGAAAUCCUGCGGCUUAACCGCAGAACUGCCUUUGAAACUGUUGAUCUUGAGUACUGGAGAGGCAGGCGGAAUUCCUAGUGUAGCGGUGAAAUGCGUAGAUAUUAGGAGGAACACCAGUGGCGAAGGCGGUCUGCUGGACAGCAACUGACGGUGAGGCGCGAAAGCGUGGGGAGCAAACAGGAUUAGAUACCCCUGUAGUC